GAUGAACGCUGGCGGCGUGCCUAAUACAUGCAAGUCGAGCGAACAGAUGAGGGGCUUGCUCCUCUGACGUUAGCGGCGGACGGGUGAGUAACACGUGGAUAACCUACCUAUAAGACUGGGAUAACUUCGGGAAACCGGAGCUAAUACCGGAUAAUAUAUUGAACCGCAUGGUUCAAUAGUGAAAGACGGUUUUGCUGUCACUUAUAGAUGGAUCCGCGCCGCAUUAGCUAGUUGGUAAGGUAACGGCUUACCAAGGCAACGAUGCGUAGCCGACCUGAGAGGGUGAUCGGCCACACUGGAACUGAGACACGGUCCAGACUCCUACGGGAGGCAGCAGUAGGGAAUCUUCCGCAAUGGGCGAAAGCCUGACGGAGCAACGCCGCGUGAGUGAUGAAGGUCUUCGGAUCGUAAAACUCUGUUAUUAGGGAAGAACAAAUGUGUAAGUAACUAUGCACGUCUUGACGGUACCUAAUCAGAAAGCCACGGCUAACUACGU
rnacentral:rRNA from 1 species